GUUGCUCAGAGCGAAAUGUUGGUUAAUGUAUUCCACUUUGCGCGGCAGAGAAAAGCAGGCGUUGGACACAUAGGGCUAUGUUGACAUCGCAAACCAUGAUUACUUUGUUUCUUGUGGGGCAUUUUAAUCCUUAAUUUCAUGCAAUGAUCAGAGAGACGCCAAGCACAGCUGAGAUACCUUUGCUCUGAACGCGAGGAAAUACAAUAUGUGGCUAUUUAUGGACGACAAGGAAAUUACUUCAUGAAUGCUAAUGGAACAUUAUGAUCAGUAGAAAACGCACUGGCCCGGCUGACAUGAAAGCAAAGCAAGGCGAGAAGGGACUACCACAGACGGCUGGCUGCUUGGAGUGCCGGGUAAGCCUCCAGAUGUAUUCCUCAGGUGGGCUGUUCAACUCUAACCUCCUCUCCCAUCCCUGAGCCCUGGGCCCCUUCCCUCU